rnacentral:rRNA from 1 species
AUGCAACGCGAAGAACCUUACCUGGGCUUGGCAUGUACGUAGUAGUGAAGGGAAACCGGAACGAGCCUUCGGGCAGCGUAGACAGGUGCUGCAUGGCUGUCGUCAGCUCGUGUCGUGAGAUGUUGGGUUAAGUCCCGCAACGAGCGCAACCCGUGUUGCUAGUUACAAGUGUCUAGCGAGACUGCCGGUAACAAGCCGGAGGAAGGUGCGGAUGAUGUCAAGUCAGCAUGGCCUAUAUGUCCAGGGCUACACACACGCUACAAUGGCUGGUACAAAGAGAAGCGAAAGGGAGACCUGAAGCGAAUCUCAUCAAAGCCAGUCAUAGUUCGGAUUGCAGGCUGCAACUCGCCUGCAUGAAGUCGGAGUUGCUAGUAACCGCAGGUCAGCAAUACUGCGGUGAAUACGUUCCCGGGCCUUGUACACAC